GGCUUAGAGUUUGAUCCUGGCUCAGGAUGAACGCUAGCGGAACGCCUAACACAUGCAAGUCGAACGAGUUUUAUUUUGUAGCAAUACAGAAUAAAAUUAGUGGCAAACGAGCGAGUAACGCGUACUUAAUCUGCCCAAAAGUUGAGAACAACUAUAGAGAUGUAGCUAAUUCUCAAUAUGCUCACGAUGGUGAAAAUCCGAUGUGAGGAAAGAUUUAUCGCUUUUGGAGGAGGGUGCGUCCUAUCAGGUUGUUGGUGAGGUAAUAGCUCACCAAGCCUAUGACGGGUAGCCGGUCUGAGAGGAUGUCCGGCCGCAAUGGAACUGAGAUACGGUCCAUACUUCUACGGAAGGCAGCAGUGGGGAAUAUUGGACAAUGGGCGAAAGCCUGAUCCAGCAAUUCCGCGUGGAGGAUUAAGCCCUAAGGGGUGUAAACUUCUUUUUUGGUGGAAGACGAAUGACGGUACACCAAGAAUAAGGGACGGCUAACUUCGUGCCAGCAGCCGCGGUAAUACGAAGGUCCCAAGCGUUAUCCGGAUUUACUGGGCGUAAAGCGUCUGUAGCCUGAUAAAUAAGUCUGUUUUUAAAAGUCCCAGCUCAACUGGGAAGCAGGAAUAGAUACUAUUUGACUAGAGGUUAUUGGAGGUUAGUGGAAUUUCCGGUGGAGCGGUGAAAUGUGUUGAUAUCGGAAAAGAAUGCCUAAAGCGAAAGCAGCUAACUACAAUAAACCUGACGGUGAGAGACGAAAGUUUGGGUAGCAAACAGGAUUAGAUACCCUGGUAGUCCAAACCGUAAAUUAUGUCCGCUAGAUGUCUUGCCGAUUCGUCGGUGGGGUGUCGUAAGUUAACACGUUGAGCGGAUCGCCUGGGUAGUAUACUCGCAAGAGUGAAACUCAAAGGGAUAGGCGGGGGAACACACAAGCAGUGGAUUGUCUAGAUUAAUUGGAUAACAAGCCAAGAAUCUUACCAAGACUUGACAUAUGAUGUGUCUCAUGUGAAAGCAUGAUAGUCCGAGCAAUCGGAUGCGUUAUACAGGUGGUGCAUGGUCGUCGUCAGCUCGUGCCGCAAGGUGUCUAGUUAAGUCUAGUAACGAGCGCAACCCUCAUCUAUAGUUAGAAUGUCUAUAGAGACUGCCCGGGCAACCGGGAGGAAGGAGAGGAUGACGUCAGAUCCUCAUGCCCCUUAUGUCUAGGGCUUCAUAGACAAUACAAUGGGUAGUAACAGCGAGAAGCAAAACCGUGAGGUUGAGCAAAUCUUCAAACCUACCCCUAGUUCGGAUUGUAACCUGGAACCCGAUUACAUGAAGUUGGAAUUGCUAGUAAUGGCGAAUCAGCCAUGUCGCCGUGAAUAUGUCCCUGUUCCUUGCACUCACCGCCCGUCAAACCAUGGGAGUUGAAAUUCUUUGAAGAUCCGCCAUGCGGGUUAAGAAGGAGGUCGAUGACUGGGGUUAAGUCGUAACAAGGUAACCAAGC
rnacentral:rRNA from 1 species